rnacentral:tRNA from 1 species
GGAGAGAUGGCUCAGUGGUUUAGAGCACUGUCUGCUCCUCCAGAGGUCCUGAGUUCAAUUCCCUGCAACCACA